CCUACGGGUGGCAGCAGUGAGGAAUAUUGGUCAAUGGACGAGAGUCUGAACCAGCCAAGUAGCGUGAAGGAUGAAUGCCCUAUGGGUUGUAAACUUCUUUUAUAUGGGAAUAAAACGUUCCACGUGUGGGAUUUUGUAUGUACCAUAUGAAUAAGGAUCGGCUAACUCCGUGCCAGCAGCCGCGGUAAUACGGAGGAUCCGAGCGUUAUCCGGAUUUAUUGGGUUUAAAGGGAGCGUAGGUGGAUUGUUAAGUCAGUUGUGAAAGUUUGCGGCUCAACCGUAAAAUUGCAGUUGAAACUGGCAGUCUUGAGUACAGUAGAGGUGGGCGGAAUUCGUGGUGUAGCGGUGAAAUGCUUAGAUAUCACGAAGAACUCCGAUUGCGAAGGCAGUUCACUGGACUGCAACUGACACUGAGGCUCGAAAGUGUGGGUAUCAAACAGGAUUAGAUACCCUAGUAGUC
rnacentral:rRNA from 1 species